AUUGAACGCUGGCGGCAGGCCUAACACAUGCAAGUCGAACGCGUGGCGGACGGGUGAGUAAUGUCUGGGAAACUGCCUGAUGGAGGGGGAUAACUAGUGGAACCGGUAGCUAAUACCGAAUACCAUUCGAUGAGCGCAGAUGGGAUUAGCUAGUUGGUGGGGUAACGGCUAACCAAGGACACGAUCACUAGCUGGUCUGAGAGGAUGACCAGCCACUCUGGAACUGAGACACGGUCCAGACUCCUACGGGAGGCAGCAGUGGGGAAUAUUGCGCAAUGGGCGCAAGCCUGAUGCAGCCAUGCCGCGUGUGUGAUGAAGGUCUUCGGGUUGUAAAGUACUUUCAGCAGGGAGGCGUUACCCGCUGAAGAAGCACCGGCUAACUCCGUGCCAGCAGCCGCGGUAAUUC
rnacentral:rRNA from 1 species